rnacentral:lncRNA from 1 species
AGAUGUCACUGAACCUGUGCACUGCAUGGAGGUGAAGAGCAGCUAGAGAUGCCAGCACAACCUGGGCUCCAAUACGUGGCCUUCAUGCUGAAGUCCCACACAGGUUCACAGCUAUCACCAAGACACUGAACCUAGGCCACUCACUCACAAAUAUCCAUUGUGGAUAAACUCUAACCAGUUCAAAGGUUGGAUAUUUUGUUCAGCCGAGAGGGAGGUCUUCAGGCCUUAGUCCUGUACUGCAUACACAUCCCAAUCUCUACUCACAAGUACUCCUUUUGUUCCCAACUGCAAACAACAAUUAAAAUAGAUAUGACUCUAUUUAUGGAUAAGCACAAACAAGCCCAACUGAAAUACGUUCAGCAAGGGGAAAAGAAAUGAGACGCCUAGGGCCUAGUUAUGCACUGUACCUUCAUUUCAAUCCACAUAAUCAAACAAAAUACAGCAGGGCGCUGAUCUUUAUCCACCCACGUGGUUAGGAACCCAACAGAUAGGGCUGCAUCUAUG